CCCUUAGAUGUCCGGGGCUGCACGCGCGCUACACUGACUGGCUCAGCGUGUGCCUACCCUACGCCGGCAGGCGCGGGUAACCCGUUGAACCCCAUUCGUGAUGGGGAUCGGGGAUUGCAAUUAUUCCCCAUGAACGAGGAAUUCCCAGUAAGUGCGGGUCAUAAGCUUGCGUUGAUUAAGUCCCUGCCCUUUGUACACACCGCCCGUCGCUACUACCGAUUGGAUGGUCCGGUGAAGCCUCGGGAUUGUGGUUCUUGCCGCUUUAUUGUGGCGUGACCGCGAGAACUUGUCUAAACCUUAUCAUCUAGAGGAAGGUGAAGUCGUAACA
rnacentral:rRNA from 1 species